ACGCCGUCGCGCCGCCAGCCAACGCCAACGCCGCGGCGCCGCCAGCCCACGCCGCCGCCGCCGUCCGACCCGUGGCCCUGCAUCCCCAACGCCGUUGCCCUUCAUCUCCAACGCCGCCGUCUGACCCAUGGCCCUGCAUCCCCAACGCCGCCGCCCUCCAUCUCCAACACCGCCGUCCGACCCGUGGCCCUGCAUCCCCAACGCCGCCGUCCUAGGACGCAGCCCUGCAUCUCCAACGCCGCGCCGCCCGUUCACCCGACGCGAGAACUCCUCUGCCUGAAGCGAGGACACCGGCGCCUUGCACCACAGCUCCUCCAAAGCAGGAAUGGAAGAAUCUAUGGCAGUGAUGGCUUGCCGGAGGUUCAUGAUUCACGCACAAAGUCUGCUGCCAUCCAAUUGAACAAGCAUGCAUGAUCACCGGAUGAGGGUGCGUUGAGGUUGUGGGCUGCGUGAGGUCCGAAGAGCUGGUCUGCUGGGAGGACGUGCCUGAAUCAGCCAGGCUGGAAGGCUUGAGUGACUUUUGCUGGCUUUGCGAGAAUCCACAGGUCUGAUCAAGAUUCUCAAGAAGUAUGACAAGAGAACUGGUGCCAUUCAAAAUGUGAUGCUUCAGUGUUGAAGUUCUUCAACACUGAGCUCCUGUACCACCUUGUGGAGGAGUGUGAGGCCAUGCUCAACCAAGUCCUACCAUAUUGAACAAACCAUAAUCCUAGUUCUUCCUUGAAUAGCAGCGGAUGCAUUCCAGUGAUAUAACUGCUCUGAUAAUAUGUUUCCAAGCAUGAUAUGAGAACGAGAACAUGUACAUGACUAGCUUGAUGAAAUAUAUUGUA